UACGUAGGGUGCAAGCGUUACUCGGAAUCACUGGGCGUAAAGGGUGCGUAGGCGGCUCAUUAAGUUGGAUGUGAAAGCCCUCGGCUCAACCGAGGAACUGCGUCCAAAACUGGCGAGCUCGAGGAUGGUAGGGGAUAGUGGAACUCCAGGUGGAGCGGUGAAAUGCGUAGAGAUCUGGAGGAACGCCGGUGGCGAAAGCGACUAUCUGGGCCAUUCCUGACGCUGAGGCACGAAAGCCAGGGGAGCAAACGGG
rnacentral:rRNA from 1 species